rnacentral:rRNA from 1 species
GCUCUAUUUCCUGCUUACUUCUAAAUCCUCCUUCAAGAUGCAUAUUUCAGUGCGAUUUUUCGUAUUUUCUUCAUGAGAGAAUGUAGCCCAUUUCUUUCCUUUUCAUAGGCUACACCUCGACCUGACGUUUUGGGCUAUGCCAAUUGUGCUUACUAUAGGCCCCUCAGGGGGUAAGCUGACGACGGCGGUAUAUAGGCGGGAUGGGGCAAGAAAAGGUGAGGUUUAACGGGGGUUAUCGGUUUCAAGAACAGGCUCCUCUAGAUGGGUCUAAAGCACCGCCAAGUCCUUUGGGUUUCAAGCUAAUGCUCGUAGUUCCCGGGCGGAUAGUGGGUGUA